rnacentral:rRNA from 1 species
UACGUAGGUAGCGAGCGUUGUUCGGAAUUACUGGGCGUAAAGAGUGUGUAGGCGGUGCUCCAAGUCUGGUGUGAAAUCUCCCGGCUUAACUGGGAGGGUGCAUUAGAAACUGGAAUGCUAGAGGAUGGGAGAGGUAAGCGGAAUUCCUGGUGUAGCGGUGAAAUGCGUAGAUAUCAGGAGGAACACCUGUGGUGUAGACAGCUUACUGGACCAUUUCUGACGCUGAGACACGAAAGCGUGGGUAGCAAACAGG